AAAAUAAGAAUCUCACAGAAUAAAAAUUAGCAAAUAUUUAAGUGACCUUUAACAUAACAUUUUAUCAGUUGGUCAGGGGAAACUCAUUCAGCUUUUUCAUAGGUAUACAGUGACACAUUAAUUACGCUUAAUGUGAGACAUGGCUAUACUUUCCUGUGUCUUAUAAAGGGCCACGCCCAUGGAGGUCUUAAACUGCCCAGUGGCUCUCAGGUCUCCGCCCUUUGAGGGUAUGUUCUGUCAUUUCAGAUCGCUUGUGAGAAACCUUCCUCUUGGUGGAGAGAAAAGCAAGAGAGAAAGGGCCCAAACUGUAGCAACAAGGAAUAAAGACAGUAAGUUGGCUUGUCGUGAGCUGCCCUAAGGAGAAGUCCCUGUGGCAAGGAACAGAGUGUGGUCAAGCUGGCCAACAGACAACAAGGAACCGAGGCCAUCAGAGCAACAGCCAGGGAGGAACUGAUGCCUGCCAACAAUCAUGGGACUCUGUGAUGGUAGCUGCUGGCCCCAAAUUCAGCAGAGCAAGAGUACUCCCACAGAGCUGAAUAAAUCAAUGAGGUUAUUUGCAUCAUUGUUGCUAUUGUUUUUAAUGUUCUGGAGUUUUUGGACGUAUGAGAAAAC
rnacentral:lncRNA from 1 species